rnacentral:rRNA from 1 species
CCUUGUUUAACAAAAACAUGUCCUUUUGAUUAUAAUUUAAGGUCUAAUCUGCCCAAUGAGGAAUUGAAUGGCCGCAGUAUUUUGACUGUGCUAAGGUAGCAUAAUCAAUAGUUUUUUAAUUGAAAGCUAGAAUGAAUGAUUGAAUGAAAAAAUAACUGUCUUAGAUUUAUUAAUUUGAAUUUUAUUUUUAAGUCAAAAAGCUUAAAUGAGAUUAAAAGACGAGAAGACCCUAUAGAGUUUGAUAUUUAAUAAUAUUAAUAUUAAUAUAUUUAAAAUAAUAUUAUUUUAUUUAAUAUUUGAUUGGGGUGAUUGAAAAAUUUAAUUAACUUUUUUUUAUUUUUUACAUAAAUAUAUGAAUGUAUGAUCCUAAAUUUUAGAUUAUAAGAUUAAAUUACCUUAGGGAUAACAGCGUAAUUUUUUUUAAGAGUUCUUAUCGAAAAAAAAGAUUGCGACCUCGAUGUUGGAUUAAAAUUUUAUUUUGGUGUAGAAGCUAAAAUUAUAGGUCUGUUCGACCUUUAAAAUUUUACAUGAUCUGAGUU